GACGAACGCUGGCGGCGUGCCUAAUACAUGCAAGUCGAACGAAGCUGUUUUAACUGGUGCUUGCACCGACUUAAACAACUGAGUGGCGAACGGGUGAGUAACACGUGGGUAACCUGCCCCAAAGCGGGGGAUAACACUUGGAAACAGAUGCUAAUACCGCAUAACCACAGAAACCACAUGGUUUCUGUGUCAAAGAUGGUUUCGGCUAUCACUUUGGGAUGGACCCGCGGCGUAUUAGCUAGUUGGUAAGGUAAUGGCUUACCAAGGCAAUGAUACGUAGCCGAACUGAGAGGUUGAUCGGCCACAUUGGGACUGAGACACGGCCCAAACUCCUACGGGAGGCAGCAGUAGGGAAUCUUCCACAAUGGACGAAAGUCUGGUGGAGCAACGCCGCGUGAGUGAAGAAGGUUUUCGGAUCGUAAAACUCUGUUGUCAGAGAAGAACGUGUGCGAGAGUAACUGCUCGUGCAGUGACGGUAUCUGGCCAGAAAGCCACGGCUAACUACGUGCCAGCCGCCGCGGUAA
rnacentral:rRNA from 1 species